GCACCUCGUUUACACCGAGCCCAUGUCUACUCAUCCAGAUCAUUUUGA
rnacentral:tRNA from 1 species